AAAGGUGUAACUCAGUGGUAGAGUGCAUGCCUAGCAUGCAGGAGGUCCUGGGUUCAAUCCCCAGUGCCUCCA
rnacentral:tRNA from 1 species